AAGUCGUAACAAGGUUUCCGUAGGUGAACCUGCGGAAGGAUCAUUAUUGAAGUUGUCGAGGGGUUGCUGCUGGCUUUCCGGAGCAUUGUGCACGCCCUUCUCACUUUAUCUCCAUCCACCUGUGCACACACUGUAGAUCUCCGGAUGACUCUCGGCCAGUUCUAUCUGGUUGGUUGGGAUUGCUGCUCUUCUGUGGGGCUUCAAUCUAAUUUCCGGGUUCUACGUCCUUUCACAAACUCGAAAUAAAUAUCAUAGAAUGUAUCAUGGUCGCAAGACCUUUACAAUUAUAAUACAACUUUCAACAACGGAUCUCUUGGCUCUC
rnacentral:misc_RNA from 1 species